rnacentral:rRNA from 1 species
GGGUUAAGUCCCGCAACGAGCGCAACCCUUGUCAUUAGUUGCUACGAAAGGGCGCUCUAAUGAGACUGCCGGUGACAAACCGGAGGAAGGUGGGGAUGACGUCAAGUCCUCAUGGCCCUUAUAGGUGGGGCUACACACGUCAUACAAUGGCUGGUACAGAGGGUUGCCAACCCGCGAGGGGGAGCUAAUCCCAUAAAACCAGUCGUAGUCCGGAUCGCAGUCUGCAACUCGACUGCGUGAAGUCGGAAUCGCUAGUAAUCGCGGAUCAGCAUGUCGCGGUGAAUACGUUCCCGGGUCUUGUACACACCGCCCGUCACACCAUGGGAGCGGGUUCUGCCAGAAGUAGUUAGCCUAACCGCAAGGAGGGCGAUUACCACGGCAGGGUUCGUGACUGGGGUGAAGUCGUAACAAGGUAGCCGUAUCGGAAGGUGCGGCUGGAUCCCUCCUUU